AGGCGAUCUAUCCAUGAGCAGGUUGAAGGUUGGGUAACACUAACUGGAGGACCGAACCCACUGUCGUUGAAAAGCCAGGGGAUGACUUGUGGAUAGGGGUGAAAGGCUAAUCAAGCCUGGUGAUAGCUGGUUCUCCCCGAAAGCUAUUUAGGUAGCGCCUCGGACGAAUACCAUAGGGGGUAGAGCACUGUUUCGGCUAGGGGGUCAUCCCGACUUACCAAACCGAUGCAAACUCCGAAUACCUAUGAGUACUAUCCGGGAGACAGACUGCGGGUGCUAACGUCCGUAGUCAAGAGGAAAACAAUCCAGACCGCCAGCUAAGGCCCCAAAAUCAUAGUUAAGUGGGAAACGAUGUGGGAAGGCAUAGACAGCUAGGAGGUUGGCUUAGAAGCAGCCACCCUUUAAAGAAAGCGUAAUAGCUCACUAGUCGAGUCGGCCUGCGCGGAAGAUGUAACGGGGCUAAAACUAUGUGCCGAAGCUGCGGAUUUGACAUUAGUCAAGUGGUAGGGGAGCGUUCUGUAAGCCGAUGAAGGUGUAUUGAGAAGUAUGCUGGAGGUAUCAGAAGUGCGAAUGCUGACGUGAGUAACGACAAAACGGGUGAAAAACCCGUUCGCCGAAAGACCAAGGGUUCCAGUCCAACGUUAAUCGGGGCUGGGUGAGUCGACCCCUAAGGCGAGGCCGAAAGGCGUAGUCGAUGGGAAAUUGGUUAAUAUUCCAAUACUUCUGUGUAAUGCGAUGAGAGGACGGAGAAGGUUAAGUCAGCCUGGCGUUGGUUGUCCAGGUGGAAGGAUGUAGGUAUGUAUCUUAGGCAAAUCCGGGGUACUCUAUACUGAGAUCCGAUAGCAAGCUGUACUUGUACAGUGAAGUGGCUGAUACCAUGCUUCCAGGAAAAGUCUCUAAGCUUCAGUUACACAGGAAUCGUACCCGAAACCGACACAGGUGGUCAGGUCGAGUAGACCAAGGCGCUUGAGAGAACUCUGCUGAAGGAACUAGGCAAAAUGGUACCGUAACUUCGGGAGAAGGUACGCUGUUGUUGGUGAUGGAACUUGCUUCCUGAGCUGACGACAGCCGCAGAAACCAGGCCGCUGCAACUGUUUAUUAAAAACAUAGCACUCUGCAAACACGAAAGUGGACGUAUAGGGUGUGAUGCCUGCCCGGUGCUGGAAGGUUAAUUGAUGGGGUUAGCGUAAGCGAAGCUCUUGAUCGAAGCCCCAGUAAACGGCGGCCGUAACUAUAACGGUCCUAAGGUAGCGAAAUUCCUUGUCGGGUAAGUUCCGACCUGCACGAAUGGCAUAAUGAUGGCGGCGCUGUCUCCAGCAGAGGCUCAGUGAAAUCGAAAUCGCUGUGAAGAUGCAGUGUACCCGCGGCUAGACGGAAAGACCCCGUGAACCUUUACUGCAGCUUGACACUGAACUUUGACCUUACUUGUGUAGGAUAGGUGGGAGGCUUUGAAGUUGGAACGCUAGUUCCAAUGGAGCCGUCCUUGAAAUACCACCCUGGUAAUGUUGAGGUUCUAACUCUGUCCCGUUAUCCGGGACGAGGACCGUGUCUGGUGGGUAGUUUGACUGGGGCGGUCUCCUCCUAAAGAGUAACGGAGGAGUACGAAGGUGCGCUCAGCGUGGUCGGAAAUCACGCGUAGAGUAUAAAGGCAAAAGCGCGCUUAACUGCGAGACCCACAAGUCGAGCAGGUACGAAAGUAGGUCUUAGUGAUCCGGUGGUUCUGUAUGGAAGGGCCAUCGCUCAACGGAUAAAAGGUACUCUGGGGAUAACAGGCUGAUACCGCCCAAGAGUUCAUAUCGACGGCGGUGUUUGGCACCUCGAUGUCGGCUCAUCUCAUCCUGGGGCUGAAGCAGGUCCCAAGGGUAUGGCUGUUCGCCAUUUAAAGAGGUACGCGAGCUGGGUUUAGAACGUCGUGAGACAGUUCGGUCCCUAUCUACCGUGGGCGCUGGAAAUUUGAGAGGAUCUGCUCCUAGUACGAGAGGACCAGAGUGGACGAACCUCUGGUGUACCGGUUGUGACGCCAGUCGCAUCGCCGGGUAGCUAUGUUCGGAAGGGAUAACCGCUGAAAGCAUCUAAGCGGGAAGCCUACCUCAAGAUAAGAUUUCCCUAGGAAUUUAUUCCUCUAAAGAGCCGUUCGAGACUAGGACGUUGAUAGGUUGGAUGUGGAAGCAUAGUGAUAUGUGAAGCUGACCAAUACUAAUUGCUCGUGAGGCUUGACUAUACAACACCCAAGCAGUUG
rnacentral:rRNA from 1 species